CCCAGAUCAUUGUUUGAGUAUGGGAUUUCUGAUUAUUUGUGGUCACUGAACGCACCACUGUGCCGUGCGCAUAGCCACUCUCUAGUCCAGCUACAGAGUUUUUCCUUCCGUUCGUGCGAUGAGGCGCAUGCUGCUCUCGUGCCCUCUACGAGCUGGAAAUUCGGGAAAAAGAGUCUUGUAGCAGUUACGAACGUGAAGCUGAGCUGAAACCGACAGCCAUUCGCCAUUACACGAACUCCUCUGGCUGGUUUGUUUGCCCUUUUGGUGCCCUGGAUCCUACUGGAUGAACUGCCUUGUGGAAGUGAUGACUCUGCCGAACUGUCCUGGCAAAUAGAUGGUCGUUGCUGCUUGCUGGAUUCUAUUAUUGGAUGCUACACCGUUCCAACAGAGCGGUAGGAAUAAUUCAAAAGGGCCCCAACGAUGCGCUUUAUUUUUCCCUGAGCUCAGGUGAUUUUCUUUUGGCCAAAGGACCUUAAAGGAUACAUAUUUGGUUUUAUUUAUUUAUUUAUUUUAUUUUCCUUGUGACACUGAGUGGAAAGACACUACAAAAAAAAAGGGGUUUAUUAUUUAAAAUUGUGUCGAAUAAAUGUGUUUAUGCUAAGUAAGUGUGGUGUCCAUUGUGUGCUGGAAACCUUAUUGUUCCUGUGGUGGAGCAGCUACUACCAAUCUCCUUUACGAAACUAGCUUCUGACAGGAUACAGGUAUUUGGGAUACAUUUGAUUUCUUGUAACCUAUUUUUAGAGAAACUGUGAUUCUGGGUUAAACAUUGGGGUGAAAUUGAUGACACCGACACCUAGUGAACUGCCCAAGGUCAACAGUCCUGAUUUCCACGCAUUAAAGGUUUGGCGUAAGUACAGAUUGCGUUACAUGUGCAAAAUGGGUUUAAAAACAUAAACAACUGUGGGAUACUGUUUGUCUGUGACUUAAAUGGGGGGAACAAAUUGUGGCAGGAUCAGCCUGAUAUUAUUUGUAUCCCACUGUAGCUUUGCUGUAUAAAGAGCAACAAUCGCCAAACUUUCAUUAUAGGAAGUGUUUGUGAACUAAAAAUCAAGAAUGUGGGGUACU